UACGUAGGGUGCAAGCGUUAAUCGGAAUUACUGGGCGUAAAGCGUGCGCAGGCGGUUGUGCAAGACAGAUGUGAAAUCCCCGGGCUCAACCUGGGAAUUGCAUUUGUGACUGCACGGCUAGAGUAUGUCAGAGGGGGGUAGAAUUCCACGUGUAGCAGUGAAAUGCGUAGAGAUGUGGAGGAAUACCGAUGGCGAAGGCAGCCCCCUGGGAUAACACUGACGCUCAUGCACGAAAGCGUGGGGAGCAAACAGG
rnacentral:rRNA from 1 species